UGGGGAAUAUUGGACAAUGGGCGCAAGCCUGAUCCAGCCAUGCCGCGUGAGUGAUGAAGGCCUUAGGGUUGUAAAGCUCUUUCACCCACGACGAUAAUGACGGUAGUGGGAGAAGAAGCCCCGGCUAACUUCGUGCCAGCAGCCGCGGUAAUACGAAGGGGGCUAGCGUUGUUCGGAAUCACUGGGCGUAAAGCGCGCGUAGGCGGACCGUUAAGUCGGGAGUGAAAUCCUGGGGCUCAACCCCAGAACAGCCUUCGAUACUGGCGGUCUCGAGUCCGGGAGAGGUGAGUGGAACUGCCAGUGUAGAGGUGAAAUUCGUAGAUAUUGGCAAGAACACCAGUGGCGAAGGCGGCUCACUGGCCCGGUACUGACGCUGAGGUGCGAAAGCGUGGGGAGCAAACA
rnacentral:rRNA from 1 species